rnacentral:rRNA from 1 species
GAUGAACGCUGGCGGCGUGCCUAAUACAUGCAAGUCGAGCGAACAGACGAGGAGCUUGCUCCUCUGACGUUAGCGGCGGACGGGUGCGUAACACGUGGAUAACCUACCUCUAAGACUGGGAUAACUUCGGGAAACCGGAGCUAAUACCGGAUAAUAUAUUGAACCGCAUGGUUCAAUAGUGAAAGACGGUUUUGCUGUCACUUAUAGAUGGAUCCGCGCCGCAUUAGCUAGUUGGUAAGGUAACGGCUUACCAAGGCAACGAUGCGUAGCCGACCUGAGAGGGUGAUCGGCCACACUGGAACUGAGACACGGUCCAGACUCCUACGGGAGGCAGCAGUAGGGAAUCUUCCGCAAUGGGCGAAAGCCUGACGGAGCAACGCCGCGUGAGGGAUGAAGGUCUUCGGAUCGUAAAACGCUGUUAUUAGGGAAGAACAAAUGUGUAAGUAACUAUGCACGUCUUGACGGUACCUAAUCAGAAAGCCACGGCUAACUACGUG